rnacentral:tRNA from 1 species
CACAACUUGUACUAACAGACGCAGCCGGGCUCAUAACCCGGAGGUCGCACGAUCGAAACGUGCAAUUGCUA